CGAAUCGUACACCUGCCCCUUUGUUUAUCUGUCUGAAACCCCGUCACUCGUCUGCCAGCGUCGUCUGAGGUGAAGGACUCACCUCGCAGCGUCCCAGCACAGAACAAAAUCGCGGCCGCUUGAGACAACAGGAUCUUCUUGGUGCCAUCAAGCCCGGAUCAACUGCAGCUGCAAUUUCCAAGUUAAGUACUUAUCGUCUUAUAGGGUUUUAAAAUGUUAACAUCUUGCAGAUAUGGACGGGGACUAACUUGUCAUAGGCACGAUAGAAAGUUAAUGAAUUGAGUGUGUUUUGUUGACAUACCGAGGGAUGUUUCUGGUAGAUAUGCAUUUUGUAAAUGGAGACCCCCUUUUUGCAGUCAAGGCUUGAGUCCGUUUCCGUGGUGUACAUGCCUGGUGUGUGGCUGAUUUUUGUUUCUGUUGGUUUCUGUGACUGUUGAUGACCGGAUUGUAUUCGGUCAGUUAUUGUACGUAAAUUCUGUUCUUUACAAAACAGGGUCUUCCCUGGUUCACCAUCUGUUGUCAUUUCUGUUUUAUGUCAUGGUCAGUGGUUGUCGGGAACCUAGACCAUUACAUAAUCUGCUUUGUGUCGCUCUCUUGGGUCCCGAACCAAGAGAACAACACAGGCCAGAAAGGACGACAUGUGGUUGAAGAACCUAUUUGAUAUUAGUAGUUAAUUCCUGUAGAAAUAGUCGACUUCUCGGCGUAGACACAGUCACAGAAACCGAAUCAGCCAUUCAUCGGGCUUUGUAUACCGCAGAAACAGGCUGAAGCAGCCAUAGUUCUCGAAAUUUAAACCGAAACAAACGUCAACAUUACUUGGGAUUUCAUCGAAGCACACUCAAUCGUUACCACACAUUAAUAUUCUUCCCACUAUUUCCAUGUUAAACCUAAAACGGAAAAUUUAAUCACAAACCAUGUUAACUUUCUGUACUUUAACUUAAGUGUAAGGUAUAUUUCCUAUGUUUCUGAGCCAACAUUCAUUUUCGUCUCGUCUUUUCUACCGAGGAUCAUCGCACCUUAAGAAGAAAUGUCCGGACGUGGAAAGGGAGACAAGGACUGACGAAGGAAGGUACCGGACGUGACCGAAUGGGGAUUCGCAGUCUUCCAACACAUAUGACAAGAAACGCCUGCACGCCGUAAGAGUGGAAAGGAGCUGGUGAAUCGAUCUGUCACUCGCCUGUCACUGAAAGUGCUUCGGGACAACAUCCAGUGCAUCACAGAGUCAAGGAGGACUAAGGUAUGAACAGCUCAGCUGUGAGGCAGCUGAUGCGUGCAUACGUCCUGGCCCUGAUUUUGAACCUGUAUUGGAGGAAGGAUGCAGACAAGCAGACCGUUAACUGGGUUAACACAACUGUACAAGUUUGGAAUGAGACAGCAGCUUCCAGUAUCUUAUUGGUGCCAUCAAGCCCGGAUCAACUACAGCUGCAACGCUCAUGUCUGGACUUAUCCUGGUGAGAGGCUGCCUGAUGCCAUCUCCACGGUGACGUCCAGAAAGAUGCACUCAGGACUUCAGCCCGCUUCUGUGUUGUACAGGCCCAAUGUGUGACUGAUUUGGUUUCUGUGGCUGUGUCGAUGGCCUUGAUAGUAUUCAAACAGAUACUGGAAAUUCCGUUCUUUAUAAAACAGGAACUUUCCUGGUUAAUCAUCAUCUGUUGUCAUUCCUGUUUUAUGUCGUGGUCAGUGGUUGUCGGGAAUCUGGACCAUUACAUAAUCUGCCUUGUGUCGCUAUCUUGG